rnacentral:lncRNA from 1 species
AAGAAUCCGAUCCCAUGUAUACCAAGCCCCAUUGCAAGCAGAGUUGAGCUCAAUUAGGUUGGAGGUCAGCUUUGGUUCCUUCAAACACUCUCAUCAAGUGUAACAUAGUUGACAGGUUGAUCCACUUUGGUAUCUUUAGUACUAUCUGCAACUAGUAAGUCUAGAAUGGUGUGGUUAGAUAACAAGCAAAAUCAAUAAGUUCAUCAUCCCCUUCUUGCACUAGUAAAACACAAGGCCACAACCAGGAACAUGCCACACGAAUUUCGUGGCAAAAACGUAAAAGCUACGUUUUAAUCGAGGGUAUCGACAUAUAUUAUUAUUUUAUCUAGUCGGCCAGAAAAAACAAAAAAAAAGAUUUGCCACGAACAGAAUCGUAGCAAAGCCGUGGCUAGCCCACCGAAAAAAUCCCAUCAAUCCAAUCCUGCACAUAAGGCAGUGAUAAAUACAAAAACUGAAGCAGCCAUGAAAUGUUUCGUGGGCAAUUUUGUGGCAAGCUUUCUCAGUGCAAUCACAUCCGUCUGAUAGGG